rnacentral:rRNA from 1 species
AUGUCUAUGCAGCAGGACAGGCGGAGGAAGCACCCGAGGCCGCCGCCGCCGCCGUCGCCGGGCGUCGAGCUCGCGAUGGCGCCGCACUCGCGGGACAGCCGCAGAGUCCAUUUCGAGGAGAUCCGCGAGCUCGACGGCGACGACUCCGAGCUGGGGGCCGGGCACGCGCGCGGCCGCGUGCCGCCGUGGCGGGAGCAGCUGACGGCGCGCGGGAUGGUGGCGAGCCUGGCCGUCGGCGCCAUGUACAGCGUCAUCGUGAUGAAGCUCAACCUCACCACGGGCCUCGUCCCCACGCUCAACGUCUCCGCCGCGCUCAUCGCCUUCGUCGUCCUCCGCGCCUGGACCAAGGCGCUGGCCCGCCUCGGCGUCGCCGCCCGCCCCUUCACGCGCCAGGAGAACACCGUCGUGCAGACCUGCGCCGUCGCCUGCUACAGCAUCGCCGUCGGAGGUGGGUUCGGGUCCUACCUGCUCGCGCUCGACAAGAACACCUACGAGAUGGCCGGGGAGGAGACGGAGGGCAACGUGCCGGGGAGCUACAAGGAGCCCGGCAUUGCGUGGAUGACCGGCUUCCUCCUCGCCGUCAGCUUCGUGGGGAUCAUCGCGCUCGUCCCUCUCAGGAAGAUUAUGAUUAUUGACUACAAAUUAACUUAUCCAAGCGGGACUGCAACAGCUGUGCUUAUAAAUGGAUUCCAUACGCCCCAUGGAGAUGCUAUGGCAAAGCAGCAAGUAAAUGCAUUCACAAAAUACUUCGGAAUCAGCUUCUUCUGGAGCUUCUUCCAGUGGUUUUACUCCGGUGGGGACAGUUGUGGGUUCUCGCAGUUUCCUACUUUUGGACUAACAGCUUGGAAACACACAUUCUUCUUUGAUUUCAGCCUCACAUAUGUUGGGGCAGGGAUGAUUUGUUCCCACCUCGUUAAUCUGUCUCUCCUUUUUGGCGCCAUUCUCUCCUGGGGUGUCAUGUGGCCUCUGAUCAGUGAUUUGGAAGGCGACUGGUAUCCAGCAAAUAUACCAGAAAGCAGCAUGAGCAGCCUGCAAGGCUACAAGGCCUUCAUAUGCAUAGCUCUCAUCCUAGGAGAUGGCCUGUACAAUUUUGUCAAGAUUAUUGUAUUCACUAUUAAGAAUCUGAUUGAAAAAUCAAAUCUGAAGAACACAAAGAAAGAUGAAGACAUUCCAGUGCUUGAUGACCUUCAUCGUAAUGAAGUUUUUAUGAAAGACAGUCUACCUUCCUGGCUAGCCUACUCUGGCUACGUUGCAUUGUCAGUUGCUGCAGUAAUUAUCAUCCCCAUGAUGUUCCGCGAGAUGAAGUGGUACUAUGUUAUCAUUGCAUACCUACUGGCUCCUGCCCUGGGUUUCUGCAACGCCUAUGGCGCUGGCCUUACUGAUAUCAACAUGGCCUACAAUUAUGGGAAGGUUGCCCUCUUCAUUCUUGCAGCCUGGGCUGGAAAGGACUCUGGUGUAGUUGCUGGCUUAGUAGGCUGCGGUCUGGUGAAGUCGCUGGUGUCAAUAUCUGCUGAUCUGAUGCAUGAUUUCAAGACUGGGCAUCUCACACUAACAUCUCCCAGAUCAAUGCUUAUUGCUCAGGCUAUUGGCACCGCCAUGGGCUGUAUCAUCGGGCCACUAACAUUCAUGCUGUUCUACAAGGCAUUUGACAUAGGCAACCCAGAAGGGCCCUGGAAGGCACCGUAUGCUCUGAUCUACCGAAACAUGGCAAUUCUUGGUGUGGAGGGUUUCUCUGCUCUACCCCAGCAUUGCUUGCAGCUGUGCUAUGGGUUCUUUGGCUUUGCAGUGGUGGCCAACCUUAUGAGGGACCUCUUAUCGCCGAAGUAUGGUAGGUGGGUUCCCCUACCGAUGGCAAUGGGGGUUCCUUUCCUUGUCGGCGCGAGCUUUGCCAUCGACAUGUGUGUGGGAAGCUUAGUAGUCUUUGUCUGGAACAUGAUGGACAGAAAUAAGGCUGCACUGAUGGUGCCGGCAGUUGCAUCUGGUUUGAUAUGUGGAGACGGGCUUUGGAUCUUCCCUUCGGCAUUGCUUGCACUGGCCAAGAUCAGUCCACCAUUCUGCAUGGCAUUUAGGCCUACACACUAG